GGGCUCACUUCGGCAACACAUAUACUGAAAUUGGAAUGAUACAGAGAAGAUUAGCAUGGCCCCUGCACAAAGAUGACACACAAAUGUGUAAAGCAUUCCAUGUUUUA
ensembl:snRNA U6 U6 spliceosomal RNA